UGGUAUUCUUUGUGCUGCGCGCCAUCGACUGGAUCGUUCCUGAUGUCCCGGGAUCCCUUAAGCUGAAGAUCAAGAGGGAGCGCUACCUGGCCAAGCAGGCUCUGGCCGAAAAUCAGGAGGCUCUGCUGGUGAGUCGUGGCCGAGGGGCCGCCCCCGCCUCUCCAGGCAGCUCCAGCCCAGGAAGCGACGCGUCCUUUGGAAACAUGAGUUAGGUCUACCAUGUGGGAAACCAGUGGUUGGAGGGGAUAUUGGAGUAAUUGAAGACACUUGUUCCCAUCUGGGAUAACAAGAGUGAACUUUUUCCCUGAGUGGAAUACUGUCUCUGCACUGGAAUGUUACUUUUUUCUUCACCAAUGUGUUUACCGUUGCACAAAAAUGAUGAUUAGCUGGUGUGUAACGGAGGCUGAACUAACCCUAAAGUACGUUUUCAGGUCAACUCACUAAAAUUGUAAGACUUGUAUUCAUACUAGGUGUAUACAAAAAAUGAAAUACCGAUACAUACUUGUACUUAGGUUAUGACCCUGCAGUGACUGGGCCCUAGCCUGAGCAGACCCUAUGAGAAUGGAACUAAAAAAGCGUUAUUUGCUGAAUCCUUCACCCAUCUCUGUUUUUUGUCAUGACAGAAAUUAAAAAAUACUGUCUAAUGAAAUGAAAAUGAAAAGCAGCCAGUGCUGUGAUUAGUUGUGUUUUUAGUAGCUAACCAAAGUUGCAGCAUGAAUUGUUGAUGCUAUAUGAAGUUGUCUUGGGUCCAGUUAAAAAAUCACUAACACCUACAUGCAGCAAUGUGUGUCACAGGUGUAGAGCCAAUAAUAACACAUGGAUGUUCUAUGUUUUUUUAUGAAAUUCAAGAGUAGUCAAAGGUCAACAAUAGAGAUCAGUUGAACACUGCUGCUCAGCCUGCUGUUAAGUUUCUUUUUAAAGGGGCACUCCUGUGACUUAAGUGAAGUUGGUGCAAUGAAGCAAAUACUGACAGAGUCCUGGUGGGGAUCAAACUUCAAAAAACGCUGGCUGCAUAGAAACUCUCAUAAAAUUAUCAUGAUCUUUUAAGCAAUAAUACUGCAUAACUGACCUUUUUGGCAUUAUAUUAACCUGUAGUAUCAAAAAUACUCAUUGAGGAUAUUAUAAAAAACAAAUAUUUACAGAUUGAUUAGCCCCUCGCUGCUUAAAAAUAAGAUCUCAAACCCAAUGAAAUCAUCAACGUUAUUUCCUCAGACUUCACAAAUUCUGAUUAAAUGUUAAAAUUCAGGGGUGCCCCUUUAAGUUCAUUUUGGUUGUUUUGUUAUGUGCACACUACCUUUUAUCCCUUAAGAUAAUACUGUAAGAGGGCAAAAAACAAAUCUUUUUCCCAGUUUUUUUUUAGACUCUGAUUGUAAACUGUUAUUAACAAACAUUAUCUGUUGUCUUCGAUCUGAUGAAGAACUCAUGCAAAUAUCUAGACCUUGAUGAUACAAUGCAAUGUAAAUACACGUAUACGGUACAUGUUUGCUGUCUUCGGAAGAUGAGCAUGUUUGUUUUUUCUACUUGAACGUUCUUCAGAGUUGCAUUGGGAGAAUUUGCUACUGUAACACACUGUAAAAAGGAGUGGAAUAGUACCUCGAUGUAGGAAAUAUUUUGUGUGUUAGCUGUUUUGCAUUUAGGACCUUUUAGACCAAAAUAAAUGUAGUUUGAUGAA